rnacentral:rRNA from 1 species
GACGAACGCUGGCGGCGUGCUUAACACAUGCAAGUCGAGCGGUGAACCACUUCGGUGGGGAUCAGCGGCGAACGGGUGAGUAACACGUGGGCAACCUGCCCCUAGCUCUGGGAUAACCCCGGGAAACCGGGGCUAAUACCGGAUAUGACCUCGAGCGGCAUCACUCGAGGUGGAAAGAUUUAUUGGCUAGGGAUGGGCCCGCGGCCUAUCAGCUUGUUGGUGGGGUAAUGGCCUACCAAGGCGACGACGGGUAGCCGGCCUGAGAGGGCGACCGGCCACACUGGGACUGAGACACGGCCCAGACUCCUACGGGAGGCAGCAGUGGGGAAUAUUGCGCAAUGGGCGAAAGCCUGACGCAGCGACGCCGCGUGAGGGAUGACGGCCUUCGGGUUGUAAACCUCUUUCGACCUUGACGAAGCCUUUGGGUGACGGUAGGGGUAGAAGAAGCACCGGCUAACUACGUGCCAGCAGCCGCGGUAAUACGUAGGGUGCAAGCGUUAAUCGGAAUUACUGGGCGUAAAGCGCACGCAGGCGGUUUGUUAAGUCAGAUGUGAAAUCCCCGGGCUCAACCUGGGAACUGCAUCUGAUACUGGCAAGCUUGAGUCUCGUAGAGGGGGGUAGAAUUCCAGGU